rnacentral:rRNA from 1 species
AUUGAACGCUGGCGGCAGGCCUAACACAUGCAAGUCGAACGAGAGGAGGACGGGUGAGUAAUGUCUGGGAAACUGCCUGAUGGAGGGGGAUAACUACUGGAAACGGUAGCUAAUACCGCAUACCAUCGGAUGUGCCCAGAUGGGCUUAGCUAGUAGGUGGGGUAAUGGCUCACCUAGGCGACGAUCCCUAGCUGGUCUGAGAGGAUGACUGGCCACACUGGAACGGAGACACGGUCCAGACUCCUACGUGAGGCAGCAGUGGGGAAUAUUGCACAAUGGGCGCAAGCCUGAUGCAGCCAUGCCGCGUGUGUGAAGAAGGCCUUCGGGUUGUAAAGUACUUUCAGCGGGGAGGCGUUACCCGCAGAAGAAGCACCGGCUAAAUCCGUGCCAGCAGCCGCGGUAAUUC